UCUUCUCAUAAACUCAUUGCAUUCUGCAUACCAUGAGAUCAGUUGGUAGUGCAGCAACCCAGGAAGUGUUCAUGAAAGAAGCAGCUGAGGAUAGCUGAGUUCUGAUGUAUCCCGCUGAGGUAGCUGGGUUCAUGAAAGAAUCAGUUUAGGAUAGCUGAGUUUCUGAGAGUGAAACUUCUUAGAAGUCUUCAAGAAGAAUCAGUUAAGUGAUAGCUGAGUUCUUAGUUGAAACUUCUUAUACUUUCAUGUGUAGCCACUUAGAGACAAGAGAGGUAGAUCUAGACUAGUUUGGGACUAGGUAGGAUAGCAAGUCGUUGCUGUAUCCUAUACUGUAAUCUUGUAAGGAGUGAGGUACUCAGAAACAAGAGAGAAAGUAUAGAUCUAGACUAGUGGGUAGUUUAGGCAGGAUAGCAAGUCGUUCAUGUAUCCCUAGACUAUAAUCUUGUAAGAAGUGAGUUUUACAUAGUGGAAAGGUUUGUCCCUCAAGAGUUAGGGGCACGCAGUUUUUCUCCCUGGUUGCAGGGUUUCUGCGAGUAAAAAACAUCUUGGUGUUCAUUGUUAUUUUACUGCAACUUUUAUUUAUUGUCAUUGUGUAUUUGUUAUUCAGGAUAGCCAUAACCCUUGCUAUCCCUGAGAACGAAUUUAUACGAAAAAAAGUUAUUAAGGGCCUAUUCACCCCCCCUCUAGGACCUUUAUAUUGAAUCCCAUCUUCCCUGCACACUCACUGAAAAAUAUAUAAGCAGCCUCUUCAGAGUCAAAUUCCAUACCGAAUUUCGGUUUGCAACUUAUGUCAGCCAAGCUAGCUUCUCCACCAAUAUUUGUUAUCUGUAGUAUAGAACACAAAUGGAUAUAAACAGAGAGUAUAUAUACAUCGAAUUCAUAGAAAAAAAAAUAAAGAACAUUUCAAAGUUAGAAAGUAAAAUUAGAAAGAGACGCAAGCCACGCAAAAUACUAUACAAUGAUCGAUCUAUAUCAUCGUUCACAGUAGAAACAAUGAAAAUAUCAAAGAGAGGAUCUGGAAAACCCAAAGAGAAGGGAGAAAAAGAAAAAAACGAAAAAUGAAGAAUAAGACUGAGUUCUGAACAAGAGUAGAAAGCUCUUCUGCCCUUUAAUCUUGCAGUAAAAUACAAUUAGUUACCGUGAUGUCAUGAAAUUACAAAAUUACCCUUCCGUUACAGAAUCUGUCAGGCGUAUGUGUACUAUUGGAGUAGUCCAGCUUUUGCCAUAUUUUACAGGCAGCUUCAUAAAACUUACAUCUGUUCGCAACGCACUUGGUCAAAAUUAUGGACGACCCACGAAAAAGAAUAAACUCUUUUAGCCUACAUUCUUUUACUGCUUCAACAAGCUGUAAU
rnacentral:lncRNA from 1 species